GGAAUAACAUGGUUUAGCUGUGUUCCCCACCCAAAUCUCAUCUUGAAUUACCACAUGUUGUGGGAGGAGCCUGGUGGGAGGUAAUUGAAUCAUGGGGGCAGGUCUUUCCCAUGCUGUUCUUGUGAUGGUGAGUGGGUCUCAUGAGAUCUGAUGGUUUUAUAAGAAAAAGUUUCCCUGAACAAGCUCUCUCUUUUUGCCUGCUGCCGUCUGUGUAAGACAUGACUUGGUCCUCCACCUUCUGCCAUGAUUGUGAGGCCUCCCCAGCCAUGUGAAACUGUAAGUCCAUUAAGCCUCUUUCUUUUGUAAAUUGCCCAGUCUCAGGUAUGUCUUUAUCAGCAGCAUGAAAAUGGACUAAUACAGGGAGAUUAUUGUGGUUUAUCCAAGCUGCAUCCAAAAUAACCACAAGGCCCCUUUCUUAUAAGUAAGAGAGGGAGGCAGGAGUGGGUGGAGAUGUGGAGACAGAAGCAGAGGACAGAGUGGUUUCAAGAUGCUGCACUGCUGUCUUUGAAGAUGGAGAAAAAGGACACAACCAAAGAUGUAGGCAGCCUCUAGGAGGUGGAAAAGGAGAGGAAACGGAUUCUGACCUGGGGCUUCCAGAAGGCACACAGCCAUGAGGGCCCCUUGUCACUAAGCUUGUAGUAACUUGUCACAGCAUCAACAAGAAACUAAAGAGGUGUCACCUUUCCUCAUCUGAUGGUGUGUGCAGGUGGGAUCAGGGGUCAUUUAGAGUUAAAUCCUGAUGUAAAUUCUGAUGUAAAUUAACCCAUUACUAGUUGUUUUCUUACCUCUCAUCUCAAGAUGAAGAACCUGUGGCAGUGGCAGAACACCCUUGGGAACCGUGGUUCUGUGCUUUAGUGCAGGGACUGGCUUGUUUGUGGGAAGGGGCCGCCUGGUCCAAGUAAACUUACAUGAGAUUGUCACCCUUCCAGGGGCCCUCAGGGAAGGGCUGAGAACAACUGGCCCAGGUGUGUGGAGGAGCUGCAGGUGAGGCAGGGCUGGAGGGGUCUGCGGGGCCAGGUAGAGGAGCAAACAGGUUGUCCCAUCCCCAUGGGAGCCUGCAUGAGCUUUAGGCUGGGGAGCCCUGCUCCUCUGACCUGGAUGCUCCUGUGUGGAGAGGAGGCUUGCUCAGUCAGAUCCACGCCAGGGGGUAAAUUGGGAACUGAUGGGAAGUGAGUGGCUAGAGUCCUGGGUAGUGCCUGGGAGGACCUUGCUCAAGGACUGAAUUCUUGGUCUGUCCCCACCUUGGUUACUCUGACAGCCCCUCUCUGUGUCCCACCAGAGUCAAGAUGUCCUGAGCAGUAGCCACUGGGACAGAGAACCUGGUGGCCAGGGCUAAGUAUCCAGGAUCCUGGAUUUGGGAACAGGCAAGCUCAUUUGCAGAGGACAGUGAUAGAUGGGCCACCAGGGCCUGGGUGAAGAGGGCAGGAGGGCUCAGGACACUGGAGGCUAUGUGGGGGUCACACCCAUGAUCUGCACCACCCAUGGACGCUCCUGCAUUGCUCACCUUUGUGUGGACAUCAGAUGGCCCCAACUUCCGCGCUCCUGAGACACCUUGUGCAUUCACAGAGGGAGCCAGGCUGGGGCUGUGCAUGGCCCUGGUCCCUGGGGCAGUGUGAGGACAGCCGAGCGCUCGGCUGGCUGGGCAGGGCUCCUGGGAAUCCCACCCUUUCCUGUGUAGGGUCCACUCCAGCCUGAGUCCCAACCCCCUACUCAUGUCUCCCAGGGAAGAAAGACUGGGGUUGAGAUAAGGUGGAGAUAUUUUCCCUGUGUGACCCGGGAGAGAAUGGACAUGGAGUUUCAGGUGAGUUUCUAAGUUCCCAUGAGCAGAAAAAGAGCCAAUGAGAGGAAGGGUCCUCUUUAUUCAUAUCCUUUCUGGGUGACCCUGAGUGGGCCACAGGCCCAUUCACUUUCCCUGCAAAAGCCCCCGCUUCCUGUGGUGAUGGGAGGCCUUUGUCUUGGCCCACCCAGAGCCUAGGGCAGCCUGUCAGGGUCUCCAGAUAUUCAGCAGGGACCCUCAUCCCUCCCUGUCCCCAGGCCUGUGUCUCCUCAGGAUUCAGAGCUGGUUCUCCGUCUCAGGCUCCAUGUCCUUCCCCAUCCCCAGGGCUGGGGGUCGGGGACGCCACAUCGACCCACAGGAGCAGCUCCCAGAGGAACCUAAGAAACCACAUCUGCUUUGUGGUUGACCCAGCAGUAAAUAUUUGUGUCAUGGUUUAACGAGUCCUGAAAAAAAAAAACAAAAAAAAAACCCAAAAGAGGCCUUGACCCCUGUGGCCUUCUCAGAACAGAGUCUGGUGUCUCCCAGGCUCUGGGCCCACCCAGGGCUGCUCUGGGACUGAACCUGGCUGUGGCUCAGGGGGUUCCUGUUCCCAGGCCCCUUCCUCAUCUGGUCACCAUCCCUUGUUCCUGUUUGCAGUUUCCUGAAUCUCAGAGCUCAGCCAGGUGUGGGUGGGGGCAGAUCCUCGGUCCCCCUGGGGCCUGUGGGACCAGAACAUCUGUGACCCACACUUACCUCAUAGAUGACAGCGGCUGUCCUGGGGCUGGGUAGUGGGGGCCUGGGCAGGGGAGAGAGGGCAUGUCAGGGGACAGGGAGGGAGGGUCAUGGAGGCCCAGCCUGGAAGGUUCCUGUCUCUGAUUGGCCAGGACUUACUUCCCUGGGUCUACUUCUGGUCAUUUCCCCUCAGGAGUGACCAGCUCUGCCCCUGAGCUCAGCCUCCCAGUGUGGACACAGCACCCCGACCCCUGUCCUGGCUGGGCCCACCCUGUACCCUUGUUAAUGUGGGCCCCUGACUGAUGCUCCCAGUGUCCGCUCUGCACCUACUGGGCUCCAGGGGUCUUCUCAGGCAGUGGAGGGUCCCGGGGUGGGGUCAGCACAGGGCGUGGGUGGUCCUGGCCCUGUAGGGAGGCCUGGAUCCUGGCUGGAGGCACUCACUUUGACCUGACUGUUCUGGGGAAAGGUGGGUUUGUGCUAUGCUGUGGGGUUGAUGGUCCCUCUACCCUGAACCUGCACUGCUGGGACCCCAUUAGAAAGGGGCUGGGGAGGGGAUGGGCUUACAGGGUAGGUGGAGCUGUUUGAGGGACCAUGGCCUGGGGGACAGAGACACGAGUCAGUAGCAGGGUGGGAGGAGAGCCUGGGCCCCUCACAGAGGAGGGUGUUGGGGUCCUGAACUCCCAGAGAAUCAGGGAGAAGGGGCUUCUUACCAGGAGAGACCGUCCAGCCAUUUUAGGGGCCAAGUGAGCAAGUGAGUUUGCAGAGGUGGCCCAUGACCAAGAGCCCACAGGUCAGGGCUGACCUGGCCAGUCGGGGUUCCCUGCAAUGAUGUUUUAUGAGACUCCUUGGAGCCCCAUGGAAAGGAUCAGAGGACCUCAGAGGGUGACUGGCAGGAGUGGACACUGUGGGCCAGGCUUAGGGGUUCCCAGCCACACCCAGGCUGAAGGGACACCGGGGAGCUGCUCUCUAAAGGCCACUGGCCCUAGGAAAGGUCAGGCUUACUUGUGAGGAGUGCAAGAUUAAAAGCCAAACUUUGGAGUUAGAACAGGGGAUGAAGAGGGGACCCUGUUUCCAAAGAGGGGCAUGGGGAUCUCCUUUCUCCAUGGGUUCUGUAGCAGGAGCUGAGCCAGGUAAGGGGGUUGAAGACCUUACAAAGCCACAUCUGUCCUGACCAGAGGGGAAGGACCCUCAGGUUGAUGCUGGGCUGGGAGAACAUUGACCCAGGGAUGCAGGAAAGCAACUGAGGGCCCAGGGAAGGAACCAGAUCGUGGGGGUUUGCUGAGAGGAAGGGUUAAGGCCCCAGAGGGGAAGCAGGGCCAGGCACAGGUUUAGGACACUGAGGGGACCGCAAGUGUCUUGGAUUCUCCCGGAACUCAGUGUCCCUGCUGUGGCCAGACCCUGCACUCAGGGCUGGUGAUGCUGAAAUGGGACAAUAGCCUUGUCUUCUCUCUCUACCUCUUAGCAAGAGACAUAAAGGACAUUCCAGAACAUGCCAUCCUGGAGCCCAGAUUCUCUUUGUCUCACAGCUCAGGGGCCUCAGGAACUGCAUUAGCCAUGGGGGCACUGACCCCACCCAGCGUGUCCAAGCUGUUACACCCUUCACUGUGUGACUAUGCCCAGGACUCCCCCUCAGACCCCGAGCCUGCAAAUCCCUCCUCACUUGGUGGGUGGAUUCAAUGAACAGCAAGAGGUACCGGGUACUGAGCACCCCUCCCCCACUCCCUUCCUCCAGGCAGCUGUGGCUUUGCUGUGUGAGGGAACGAGGACCACACCCAGAGGGGCCUUCCAUGUGCCAGGCCCAGUGGGCACCAACCUACGUACAGCUCAUCUCAUCCUCGCAUCACCUUGAGGGAAGGGGCAUCACCCCCAGCUGCAGAGUUAGCAUCUGAGACUUACAGUGCCUCAAUCAGACUCUCCGCCCCUGCACUGUGGAUGCCCAAGAUGAAGGGAGAUGAACCCAUGACUGGUCUCAGGUCUGCAGAUGCCUAAUAACAAGCAGCCUCACACAGCCCCAGUGGAGGAGAGGAAGGGGCUAUGGCUGCAGACAGACCUCGCCUGACUCUAAUCUGCCAGCUAUGGACUGUGUUGUUAUAGGAAUUAUUAAGAAAUUAUUUUAGGGAGCUAGAGAGGAAAGGAGGUCCUUGGGAAGUUUUUCUUUUCCUUUUUUUGAG